rnacentral:rRNA from 1 species
GGGAAUAUUGGACAAUGGGCGCAAGCCUGAUCCAGCCAUGCCGCGUGAGUGAUGACGGCCUUAGGGUUGUAAAGCUCUUUCGCACGCGACGAUAAUGACGGUAGCGUGAGAAGAAGCCCCGGCUAACUUCGUGCCAGCAGCCGCGGUAAUACGAAGGGGGCUAGCGUUGUUCGGAUUAACUGGGCGUAAAGGGUGCGUAGGCGGAUUUUUAAGUCAGGGGUGAAAUCCCAAGGCUCAACCUUGGAACGGCCUUUGAUACUGGGGAUCUUGAGUCCGGGAGAGGUGAGUGGAACUGCGAGUGUAGAGGUGAAAUUCGUAGAUAUUCGCAAGAACACCAGUGGCGAAGGCGGCUCACUGGCCCGGAACUGACGCUGAGGCACGAAAGCGUGGGGAGCAAAC